rnacentral:rRNA from 1 species
AGAGUUUGAUCCUGGCUCAGAUUGAACGCUGGCGGCAUGCCUUACACAUGCAAGUCGAACGUGAAAGGGGGGCAACCCCCGAGUAGAGUGGCGGACGGGUGAGUAACACAUCGGAACGUACCCAGUAGUGGGGGACAACCUCGAGAAAUCGAGGCUAAUACCGCAUACGACCCACGGGUGAAAGCGGGGGACCGCAAGGCCUCGCGCUAUUGGAGCGGCCGAUGUCCGAUUAGCUUGUUGGCGGGGUAAGAGCCCACCAAGGCGACGAUCGGUAGCUGGUCUGAGAGGAUGAUCAGCCACACUGGGACUGAGACACGGCCCAGACUCCUACGGGAGGCAGCAGUGGGGAAUUUUGGACAAUGGGGGCAACCCUGAUCCAGCCAUGCCGCGUGCGGGAAGAAGGCCUUCGGGUUGUAAA